rnacentral:rRNA from 1 species
UACGUAGGUGGUUUGUCGCGUUGUUCGUGAAAACUCACAGCUCAACUGUGGGCGUGCGGGCGAUACGGGCAGACUAGAGUACUGCAGGGGAGACUGGAAUUCCUGGUGUAGCGGUGGAAUGCGCAGAUAUCAGGAGGAACACCGGUGGCGAAGGCGGGUCUCUGGGCAGUAACUGACGCUGGAGGAGCGAAAGCGUGGGGAGCGAACAGG